rnacentral:tRNA from 1 species
AAAAAUUUAGUUAAAAUAUAACACUAACUUGUCAAGUUAGAAUUAUUUAUAAAAUUUAAUAAUUUUUA